UGGAUGUAAUCAUUGGAUACGCUCUCCAAAUCGACGGAGAUCGAGACAAACUUCAAAUUGAGCGUCAGCGGCAUCAUCUUCAAAUAAGAGCACUGCGCUUAGUGGCAGCGAAUGGGGUGUAUCAGGUCUCGGUGGGGAAGCACGUUCGAAAGGUUUACGGUGAAGAAACCAGGGGAAUAUGCUUUUUUGUUUGUAGAUUGGUGAGUAUUGUAGGAUGAUUGUUAUUGCAUUUUUGUAACUCUUUCUUGUCCUAAUUUGUUUAUUGUUUAUGGGUCUUCGUAUUUAGGGGAUGAAGAUGUAGUAGCGGAUUGUGGCUGAAAUUAAUGAGUGUGAUGAAAAUAUAUUGGAAUAGUAAGGGUUGAUGGGGGUUGUUGUCAUUGUCUAUAGUUUUUACUAAGAAACCAUGUCAUAUGUGUGGAUAUAUUCUAGUGAUUAAAAAGCAAAUUCGUUUUUGCUCUA